GGGGGUAUAGCUCAGUAGUAAAGUGCACGCUUAACAUGCAUAAGGUCCUGGGUUUAAUCCCCAGUACCUUCA
rnacentral:tRNA from 1 species